CUCCCGCGAACCCACACUCACAAAGAGCCGAGGGGAGAGAGGGUGCGCAGACGGCCAGCCGGGCCGCGCCAGGGACAUACUGGAGACAGGAAGUGGCUGAGAGGGGGAGAGAGUUGGAGAGAGACGGCCGCGGAGGACACGGGGACGGGAAAGUCUGAGAGACGGGGAGAGCCUGACCCGGCGGGACACAGGCAGAAAGAAACACGCGAGCCAGACAGACGCAGAAGAAACGUGCCUGGUACUGGAUAGGAACUUCAUGGAAUGGAGCUAAUGGGCCGUAGGGCAGGUUUGAGUCGUGCCACCCUGGAGCAGAAGGUGGAGGGUAGGGAUAAGGGUGGAGAGAAACUAGGAGAAAAGCACAGGAUGUAGAGGUCUAUUCGGCAUAAUCUUCUCCCUCAUUUUCAUCUUCACCAUCAACAGAGAGAGCAGCAUACUUGCUUGCAGAACUGAACUUCUGUAACACAACGAGAGUGACAGGAUAAUGAAGGCCCUGAAUUAUCACAUCAAAACCCAAGACACAGGAUACUGAUCCUUUGGCAAUGGGGGAUGACAGUCAGAUGACACCCACUUGCUUGCUCAUCAGCAUUGUCCAUUGGAGAGGAGCUAGGGAAGAGGGUCAGAGGCACAUGCGAUCUUACUAUAGUCUCAUACCACCUCUACACCUUGCAGAAGGGAUGAGAACAAAGGAAGACAGAAACCAGGAAAAAGCUAAACUUCUUUCGCUAUUUCAGUAAAGACCAAUGUCUUAUUUCCAAACACUUUGUAUUCCAAAUGGAAAGAAGUCCAACGGCAAAAAGUUUAGAAUACUAAGAAUUUUUAAUUCUUAGUAAGAAUACUUAGAAUUCUAAGAAUUUUUCUUAGAAUGAAAAAUUGGGAGCAGCCUUCAACACUUACGGAAGCUGGAUUUUCCUCAGGUUUCUUUGGCUCAGGUGCAGAUCUGGAGUCUUGAUCCUUUUUGCCAUCUUUCCUGCAGAGACGUAAGCAUAAAACCAUGUCUUUAGGAAAGGACUCGCCUAAUACAAACAUGUGUAUGCAUGCAGUUUCAAGGCACUGAACAGGCACCUCUAGUCAACAGUCCUUGUUGUCUGGAUGAUGUAUUACUUCUAGAUUUUCAGAAUCUUAACUGUCUACGUUGGCUGACUUUAGUUUGCUCACAAUGAGCGAUCUGGCAGUGCUCUGAGAACCAAGAACUUAAUUUCUUAAUUACACAAACAUGUGGAUCAGAGGAAAGAUGAGAAAGAGAACAAGCAUACCUAUCUGACUCCUUCCAGUGGUCUCUGUUCCCUCCGUCGCCUGGACCACGGCUAGAGUUCCCAGUUUGGCCUUUUGGGGCAUUCAUCCCAUCUACUUUAUUUUCAUCUGCUUGGGCAGUAAUGUAAACAAAUUAAAGGCAAGUAAAAGUAUCAAUGUCCCUCUCCUAAGAUUUCCCUUAAGCUGAAGAAAAUUGUGCCCACAUGUACUGAGGGAAACUAACCUCACCCCAACCCAGACUUCCUUCCUGAAGCCCUUCUUUCCACAUCCUCUACAGCACACAAAAAUACAAAAAACAAACAAAAUCCACUAAAAAGUUCCAUGUAGGGAUAUGCCAUCAUGAAAAGCAAGCUGGAAAUAAAGAUUAUGACGCUCUGUAGUGAC
rnacentral:lncRNA from 1 species